rnacentral:tRNA from 1 species
UAGCUCAGUAAUUGAGCAUAUGCUUGGCAUGCACAAGGCCCUGGGUUCAAUCCCCAG